GCGCCGAUGGUGCAGUUGCUUAGCACGUUUCUUUAGAAAGGACGAAAUACGAGUUGGAUUCUCGUCUGACGUU